rnacentral:lncRNA from 1 species
GUGCAGUAUAGUUGAGAAUAUGCUUCUGCAGCUUGGAAAAUGAGCAGGAACACCAACUCACUCAACUAUUAUCGUAUGUAAAACAUCUUUGUAUUUGCAAUUACUGGGAGAAGUGACAGGACAGUACCCAACUGGGAAAACUGGAAGCUGCUGAAAUUAAUUAAGUGUUCCCAUGGCUUGGCUUGAAGGAUGUGAAAUGUUCCACGAAGCCAACAAGCUAGUAUCAUCAGCAAGCAGUAUUCCAGUGUUCAGAUACACACAGCCACAACUACACCAGCAGCAGUGCAAACAGGUUGCAUAAUAGCACAUUUCUGUCCGGUCUCUGCUACUUCUGGCACACAACUACCAAGCUACCAAGGAAGAAUAUUGUAGUUACACAAUAUAAAAAUGGCUUUCAAAAUUACAUCAUUUAUUUUCAUUUAUAAUUUACACCUUUCCAGUUGCAUUUUAAUUCAUUGUCACUUGUGAACCCUGAACUCCUGCAAAGUUUGGAAUAGCAAGUUUUUAUUUGCUUUCUUUGUUCCACUUCUUUUCACUUCACUGCUACCGUAUACUAGAUCAAUUGGGACAUUAGGAUGAUGUCAUGUUUCCAAUAAUUCCUACUCAUACAGUCUUCUCACAACUAUUUUUCAAAGCAUCCUAGAGUGGUUUGGGAGAGUUUUAGAUAAGCUGUAGAUAAUUGGUUGAUUUUAAAAUCCAGGGGAUUUCAGCCUGCUCUGUUGCAUUUCCAGCCAACCCCAAGAAACUAGUUACUGAACAAGUUGCCUCGCUGAUCCCUUCACUUCACUUGUUCUUCUCAAGAAGUGUAACAUAGUCACUGAAUCUACCUCUGCUGCACUAUGAUAAUGCUAUGACAGCAUUAUCACCGCAUGUUUAUGAUGGUUUUGGAGUGCAGGCAGCAGAUUUUCAGAGCUCAGCUGAUAUACAGCUCCCUUCUCAGCCAGGGUGACCCAGGCACCUGUGACUGCGUUGAUGAAUAAAUAGAAAUAAAUUCUGCUGAAGUUUCUGUAA